AUACUUCCCAGGCAGGAGAUAGCGUGACCAUGGGGGUGGUUUUCCCAGGGCAAGGCUUACCCAUUGUGCUCUGGAUGUGCUGACCCCUGUGAUUUCCCCAGAUGUGGAAACUCAACUGCAUAAUUUUUGGGAGUGUAGGACAGUGAAAAUAAAGGAUUUCCUGUG